GAGUAUACUAAAUUGGAUGGUAGUUGAAUGUAAUUUCCAAAAGUAGAAGGGGAGUUGUGUAAUUUUCUUAAGGAAUAGGAGACGUGAAUGUGAUUGAUCAAAACAUUAGCUCCACAGCCGAUGCCCGGAAGCGCCGAUCUCUUUGCUUCUCAAGACGGGAACUACUGAACUGAGAGAAGAUUAGAAGAAGAUACAGGGAAGAUGUUCAGGAGAAGAUUUUUGUCGUUUCCGCUGGUAAUUGGCGCAGUUAUAAUUGGAGUUGUAUCUGGGAAAGCUAUAUUUGCACAACCACUUGAUGAAUAUUGGAAGAAGAAACUUCAGGAGAAACCAGCCGCAAAAGAAAAUGAUUUAAGCACCUCAUAGAACGAUCAGAUGCAUAUCUGAGCCUAAUAUCAUGCUAGUGUUUUUCUGUUGGCAGUUACUCUUUAGAAAUGCUUUCUGCAGACGCAUCCUCAUCCAAAUAGUUUACGCCAUGGAUGAUUUGGAAAUUUCAUCCUUCAGUUGCUUGUAUGAGAUUGCCCAUCAAAAUUAUCUGGUUUUUUUCUGGUUGAAAAUAGACACGCAAAAGCAACCACUGUGGCAUUAGGGUUCAGGGCAAUAUCAUAUGUCAAUUGGAAUAAAAUUGUGCCCAUGUUACUUUA